CGCACAUUGCGCCCACUAGUAUUCUGGUGGGCAUGCCUGUUCGAGCGUCAUUAAUUCCACUCAAGCACACUUGCUUGGUAUUGGGAGACUACUGUAUUGUAGCUCCUCAAAGAGAGCGGCGGAGUCGUGUCAUCCUCUGAGCUUAGUAAUUACUUCUAGCUUGUGAGCGAGGCGCGUCCCCUGCCGUAAAACCCCCAUCUUUUUUAUGGUUGACCUCGGAUCAGGUAGGAAUACCCGCUGAACUUAA
rnacentral:misc_RNA from 1 species